rnacentral:rRNA from 1 species
AGAGUUUGAUCCUGGGCUCAGGGUGAACGCUAGCGGCGCGCCUUAGGCAUGCAAGUCGAACGACCCGCUUCGGGCGGGAGUGGCAGACGGGUGAGUAACGCGUGAGAACGUACCCUUUAGUGGGGAAUAACCGCGGGAAACUGUGGCUAAUACCCCAUGUUAUCGCAAGAUCAAAGAGUGUAACUACUCGCUAAAGGAGCGGCUCGCGUCCUAUCAGCUUGUUGGUGAGGUAAUGGCUUACCAAGGCUACGACGGGUAGGAGGUCUGAGAGGAUGAUCUCCCACAAUGGUACUGAGACACGGACCAUACACCUACGGGUGGCAGCAACCGGGAAUCUUGCGCAAUGGGCGAAAGCCUGACGCAGCGACGCCGCGUGGAGGAUGAAGGCCUUCGGGUUGUAAACUCCUUUUAUUAGGGAAUAAAUUUUGACUGUACCUAAUGAAUUAAGGCCUGCUAACCACGUGCCAGCAGCCGCGGUGAUACGUGGGGCUCAAGCGUUACCCGGAAUUUACUGGGCGU